GUCCUACGGGAGGCAGCAGUGAGGAAUAUUGGUCAAUGGGCGCGAGCCUGAACCAGCCAAGUCGCGUGAGGGAAGACGGUCCUAUGGAUUGUAAACCUCUUUUGUCGGGGAGCAAAAGACGCCACGUGUGGCGUUCCGAGAGUACCCGAAGAAAAAGCAUCGGCUAACUCCGUGCCAGCAGCCGCGGCAAUACGGAGGAUGCGAGCGUUAUCCGGAUUUAUUGGGUUUAAAGGGUGCGCAGGCGGAAGAUCAAGUCAGCGGUCAAAUACGGGGGCUCAACCUGCGUCCGCCGUUGACACUGGCGU
rnacentral:rRNA from 1 species